UGACCUGAGGAAUCAGGAAAGUCGAGCAAUCGGCGCCACAAGAUGAGCCUGCGGCCGAUUAUGCUAGCUGGUGGGGUAAAGGCCUACCANGGCUGCGAUCGGUAGCUGGUCUGAGAGGACGAUCAGCCACACUGGGAUUGAGAACGGCCCAGACUCCUACGGGGGGCAGCAGUGAGGAAUUUUCGUCAAUGGGGGCAACCCUGAACGAUCAACGCCGCGUGCAGGAAGAAGGUUUUCGGAUCGUAAACUGCUUUUCUGAGGGAAGAGAACGGACGGUACCUCUGGAAAGAAGCCCCGGCUAACUACGUGCCAGCAGCCGCG
rnacentral:rRNA from 1 species